rnacentral:lncRNA from 1 species
AUGAACUUGGGAAGCAGCCUGUUUGUAUCAGAGAAAAACAAGAAUGCCAAAGAGAUGGAGACUGGUAACAAGACUCUGAGAGACAGUUUGAACCUGGAAGAAGAUGCUGCGUCCUAUUGUGAUCUCUUUUGGAAUUCUUUGGGAAGUCAAAGAAGUCUGAGAGCAGUGGCUGUUGUGUCUCCAGAUACUGUAAGUAUGAAAGAAAGUACUGGGGAGAGGGCAAGGUGUAGUUACCAAAGAAUCAGGCAGGAUGCCCUCCAAAUGGGACAGAGACUAGAACAAGGCAGAAAAAUUGAAGCAGGCACUCACUCUCAGCACUGGGCAAUGUAAGGUCAGCAUGUCUUAACGUUAGCCCUGGGUGUUUCUUCUGCCUCACCCUUGUCCAGCCCUGCCUUCAGGUAAGAAUGACCUCUAAUGAACACUCUGUUUGUUUGUUUGUUUGUUUUGGGCCACACCUGUGGCAUCCAGGAUUCCAGGGCCAGGAAUGGAACCUGUACCACAGCAGCAACCUGAGCCACAGUAGUGACAGAUGAUGCCAGAUCCUUAACCCGCUGCACCACCAGGGAACUCCUCUAAUGGACACUCUUAUCUCCUCAAAUUCACUUCUGUUGCUAUAUGCCUGCUUUUCGGUUCUGACCUGUAUAUUUUAUUAAUUUUACUUGAAGAGCUAUAAUUUUAACCAUAAUCCUGAUGAAAACACAAUCACAGAAAAAAGAUAUUUUCUAUUCUUCAUACCCAGGCAUUUAAUUUUUUACAAUGUUAACUCCAAAUUAGUGAGGACCUAUGUGCCUAAAGUUAGAGAUAUUUUACAUAUAUUAUGUUUAACAUGCACUAAGAAAUUCUUUAGUCUAUGCAUCUGUAGCCCACUUAGCAGAUGAGUCCCAGAGAGAGUAAAGGACUGGUCCCCAACCUGAAAGAAGACAGGGCCACUCCCACAAGAGUGCCACAUCUGCCCUCACUUCCCGUACUCACUUCAGGCCUUAAAAUCCCUGAUUUUCUUGUUUUAAUUCCCUUAAUCACUACAAAUUCUGCCUCUUCAUCUCCAAGUCAGGUUUUUCUUACUUGAUUAUAAGAUUUUACUAUUGCUUUGCUUUUGUGGUUUCUUCCUCUUUCCCAGCUUAAAAAAAAAAAAAAAAUUCAUUGAGUUUCAGAGUAGAUCAGUAUGUCAAGUUUUCUCAAAACAUUCUUUAAAGUCAUUUUCUGACUUAAAUGUCUAGAGGGCAGAGCUAAAUGGGGCCACCAGGUAAGAAAGCAGGACGGCUCCACACACUUACAGAGGCUGAGGAAGGAGAAAUGGAAAGGAAAAAUCUUAUUAGGCUUUGUAGGUCAG